GCGCCUGUAGCUCAGUCGGUAGAGCACGAGACUUUUAAUCUUGUGGUCGAGGGUUCGAUCCCCUCCGGGCGCA
rnacentral:tRNA from 1 species